UCGAACUCUCUGAGGCUGUGCAUCUGGACCGGAGGACCUUUUCCUGUUUCAUCACACGAGAAAUCUGACAGAGGACAGAAGACAAACAAGCUGCGUAGCAGCGAGGAGGGAAAAGUUUCAGGAAGUUCUUACCCAUCAUGGGUCCGAGGCUCCUGGGCCGGGCCGGUUUCUCUGCAGCGCCGUGCCUGAAACCAGAGACAGGGUCAGCCAAACCGUCCCAGAACCCGGUCUCCUAACGCAGGUCGUCCAGAUGCUCCUGGAGCGGAGCAGAAAUCCUCCAGAGGCGCUGCAGCAGGGCGCUGCAGCAGGGCGGGCCGCGCUGACCCGUCAGGCUGCUGCGGCUCCUGAGUCAGCGCAUGCCUCAGGUCACACCGCCGUCUCUCACCAAUGAAGACGCAGUAAACAGUCAGAGGAGUUUCUCCAAACCGCUUAUUACCGGCUGGAUCCAGAGGAGACUGCAGGCACCGCUUCAGAACCUCAGCAGCGGUUCUGGAUUACUUUAACUGGACUUCAUACAGAAAUCAGCACAGUUCAUAUGAACAGAAUAAAAACUACCUUCAGUCUG